rnacentral:rRNA from 1 species
AGAGUUUGAUCCUGGCUCAGGAUGAACGCUGGCGGCGUGCCUAAUACAUGCAAGUCGAGCGAACAGAUAAGGAGCUUGCUCCUUCGACGUUAGCGGCGGACGGGUGAGUAACACGUGGGUAACCUACCUAUAAGACUGGAAUAACUCCGGGAAACCGGGGCUAAUGCCGGAUAACAUGUUGAACCGCAUGGUUCUACAGUGAAAGACGGUCUUGCUGUCACUUAUAGAUGGACCCGCGCCGUAUUAGCUAGUUGGUGGGGUAACGGCCUACCAAGGCGACGAUACGUAGCCGACCUGAGAGGGUGAUCGGCCACACUGGAACUGAGACACGGUCCAGACUCCUACGGGAGGCAGCAGUAGGGAAUCUUCCGCAAUGGGCGAAAGCCUGACGGAGCAACGCCGCGUGAGUGAUGAAGGUCUUCGGAUCGUAAAGCUCUGUUGUUAGGGAAGAACAAAUGUGUAAGUAACUGUGCACAUCUUGACGGUACCUAACCAGAAAGCCACGGCUAACUACGUGCCAGCAGCCGCGGUAAUACGUAGGUGGCAAGCGUUAUCCGGAAUUAUUGGGCGUAAAGCGCGCGUAGGCGGUUUUUUAAGUCUGAUGUGAAAGCCCACGGCUCAACCGUGGAGGGUCAUUGGAAACUGGAAAACUUGAGUGCAGAAGAGGAAAGUGGAAUUCCAUGUGUAGCGGUGAAAUGCGCAGAGAUAUGGAGGAACACCAGUGGCGAAGGCGGCUUUCUGGUCUGCAACUGACGCUGAUGUGCGAAAGCGUGGGGAUCAAACAGGAUUAGAUACCCUAGUAGUCC